rnacentral:lncRNA from 1 species
UUUUUGAUAAUUCCUUGAUAUGAAAAAACGUUACCUGAUGAUAGCGUUUCUUUGUUUACAUUGCAUAUGACGUCAUAACUUAAAUAACGUCACAACUAAAAUCCAUAACAACAGAACCAAAAUCGGAAACGUUACGGUAUUUCCGUUUCUUUUUUUUAACAAAUAUUUAAGUUACAAAAAAAUAAUUCAUUCAGACUUCGUCCC